AGGGAAUAUUUGGUCAAUGGACGCAAGUCUGAACCAGCCAUGCCGCGUGCAGGAUGACGGCCCUCUGGGUUGUAAACUGCUUUUAUAUGGGAAGAAACCCCGGGAUGCGUUCCGGGCUGACGGUACCAUAUGAAUAAGGAUCGGCUAACUUCGUGCCAGCAGCCGCGGUAAGACGAAGGAUCCAAGCGUUGUCCGGAUUUACUGGGUUUAAAGGGUGCGUAGGCGGAAAAUUAAGUCAGUGGUGAAAUCCCGCAGCUCAACUGCGGAACUGCCAAUGAAACUGAUUUUCUUGAAUACGGUUGUGAGGUAGAUGGAAUAUAACAUGUAGCGGUGAAAUGCUUAGAUAUGUUAUAGAACACCAAUUGCGAAGGCAGUCUACUAAGCCGUCAUUGACGCUGAGGCACGAAAGCGUGGGGAGCGAACAGGAUUAGAUACCC
rnacentral:rRNA from 1 species